CCCUACGGGGGGCAGCAGUGGGGAAUAUUGCACAAUGGGGGAAACCCUGAUGCAGCGACGCCGCGUGAGUGAAGAAGUAUUUCGGUAUGUAAAGCUCUAUCAGCAGGGAAGAAAAUGACGGUACCUGACUAAGAAGCCCCGGCUAACUACGUGCCAGCAGCCGCGGUAAUACGUAGGGGGCAAGCGUUAUCCGGAUUUACUGGGUGUAAAGGGAGCGUAGACGGCUGUGCAAGUCUGGAGUGAAAGGCAUGGGCUCAACCUGUGGACUACUUUGGAAACUGUGCGGCUUGAGUAUCGGAGAGGCA
rnacentral:rRNA from 1 species